AUUGAACGCUGGCGGCAUGCCUUACACAUGCAAGUCGAACGGCAGCACGGGUGCUUGCACCUAGUGGCGAGUGGCGGACGGGUGAGUAAUACAUCGGAACGUACCUUAUCGUGGGGGAUAACGCAGCGAAAGCUGUGCUAAUACCGCAUACGCCCUGAGGGGGAAAGCGGGGGAUCGAAAGACCUCGCGCGAUUAGAGCGGCCGAUGCCUGAUUAGCUUGUUGGUGGGGUAAAAGCCCACCAAGGCGACGAUCAGUAGCUGGUCUGAGAGGACGAUCAGCCACACUGGGACUGAGACACGGCCCAGACUCCUACGGGAGGCAGCAGUGGGGAAUUUUGGACAAUGGGGGCAACCCUGAUCCAGCAAUGCCGCGUGAGUGAAGAAGGCCUUCGGGUUGUAAAGCUCUUUUGUCAGGGAAGAAACACCGGCUCUAACACAGUCCGGGAAUGACGGUACCUGAAGAAUAAGCACCGGCUAACUACGUGCCAGCAGCCGCCGUAA
rnacentral:rRNA from 1 species